AAUAUACUCCUUUCGUUCUAAAUUACUCGUCGCAGAGAUGGAUAUAUCUAGAUAGUUCUAGAUACAUCCAUUUCUGCGACGAGUAAUUUGGAACGGAGGGAGUAGAAG
rfam:Triticum aestivum genome assembly, contig: Triticum_aestivum_CS42_TGACv1_scaffold_472130_6AL